rnacentral:rRNA from 1 species
CAUGCAUGUCUAAGUAUGAACUGGUUUAAGGUGAAACUGCGUACGGCUCAUUACAUCAGCUAUAACUUUCUUUGAUCAUAAAUUCUAAAUGGAAUAACCGAGGAAAAGCCUGGGCUAAUACAUGCGACAAUUCCGGUAGUAAUAUCGGAAUGCUUUUAUUAGAUCAAAACCUUCUAGUUCUUUUACGAGAACUGUUUGUUGGUGACUCUAAAUAACUUUGUGUUGAUCGUAUGACCUUUGUGUCGACGACAUAUCUUUCAAGUGUCUGACUUAUCAACUUUAGACGGUACAUUAUAUGUCUACCGUGGUUGUAACGAGUACAGAGAAUCAGGGUUUGGUUCUGGAGAGGCCGCCUGAGAAACGGCGACCACUUCCAAGGAAGGCAGCAGGCGCGCAAAUUACCCACUCUCAAAACGAGGAGGUAGUGAAGAGAAAUAACGAUGUUAGUCUUCUAUAGGCUGACAAUCGGAAUGGGAACACUGUAAACAGGUUAUCGAAAACUAAAGUUGCUGUGUUUAAAAAGCUCGUAGUUGAAUUUCGGGUAUUUGUUGCUAGCUGGUCCUAGUGGCCAUGUUGGUUAACAGAUCCUCAUUUGCUGGACGGCUAUCGAUGAUCUUUACCGAUUGUCGUUAGUUGCCAGAACGUUUACUUUGAGAAAAUUAGAGUGCUAAAAGCAGGCUCACGCCUAUAUAUAUUCAUGGAAUAAUGAAAUAAGAUCUCGAUUUUAUUUCGUUGGUUUUAGAAAUUGAGAUAAUGAUUAAUAGGAUCAGAGGGGGGCGUACGUACUGUGGUGUGAGAGGUGAAAUUCUUGGAUCGCCACAGGACGAACAGCAGCGAAGGCGUUCGCCAAGAAUGUUUUCAUUAAUCAAGAACGAAAGUUUGAGGUUCGAAGACGAUUAGAUACCGUCCUAGUUCAAACCAUAAACGUUGCCAACUGUCUUUUAGAUGCGGUUAUUUAUAUGACUCAUCUGGCGGAUCUCGAGAAAUCUAAGUUUUUAGGUUCCGGGGGAAGUAUGGUUGCAAAGCUGAAACUUAAAAGAAUUGACGGAAGGACACACAAGAAGUGGAGCCUGUGGCCUAAUUUGACUCAACACGGGAAACCUUACUCGGCCAGGACACUUUUAGGAUUGACAGAUUGAGAGCUCUUUCUUGAUUAGGUGGGUGGUGGUGCAUGGUCGUUCGUAGUUCGUGGAGCGAUUUGUCUGAUUAAUUUCGAUAACGAACGAGACUCCGGCUUACUAAAUAGUCUAAAGUUCGAAGGGACUUUUCAAGACUUCUUAGCAGGAUAAGUGGCACUUUUUAAGCCACACGAAAUGGAGCAAUAACAGGUCUGUGAUGCCCUUAGAUGUCCGAGGCUGCACGCGCGCUACACUGGAGAGUUCAGAAUGUUUCUUCCUACUUCGACAGAAGUGGGUAACCAUGAAAUUCUCUUCGUGACUGGGAUCGGAGCUUGCAAUUAUUCUCCGUCAACGAGGAAUUCCUAGUAAGCACUAUUUCAUCAGAAUGUGCUGAUUAUGUCCCUGUCCUUUGUACACACCGCCCGUCGCUACUACCGAUUGAAUGUUUUAGUGAGAUCUUCGGCUUGGUUUUCCGAGCGACUUUCGGGUCGUUCGGUAUAUAUCGAAAAGAUGCUCAAACUGGAUCAUUAGAGGAAGUAAAAGUCGUAA